UCUGAUUCCAUUCAAACCCAGCCAAAUUCUUGACCUGGUCCACCGCAUUUUCUCCCCUUAUUUCCCCAAUCCAAAAACUGGAUCACAGAGACACAGAGAACAGCCUGUUCUUCGUUGUCCUCUUCCUCGUCACCCCUCUCAUGGUGUACGACUAGCAACAAAAAGCAGCAGGCGGGGGCACGCGUUUCCGCCCUGGUGUCGUGAGAUUGAGCCACGCAAGGUCCAGAGGACGAACAAAUUGAUCUGAGGCAUCAAUUUCCUUUUUCCUCUUUGUGAAUUAGUUAAAAUCCCCUAGAAAAGGUGGCCUCCCCUUUUUGGUGCAAGGAUUUGAAUUUCUUUUUGGGGUAAGACCAGGGGUUUAUCCGGUAUUCCACAGAAAUUCGGAACCCUAAUUUCUCAGCUAUAUAAUUCUUUUCUAGAUCCACUGUUAGAGGGGGGGGGGUUCUUUUUUUGGACUUUUGGGAGGGGUUUAUUUUUUUGGUAUUUUAGGAAAUUUUCAGUAGAAUAGUCGAGUAAGGGAUUGAAAGAAAUUUCGAAUUGAAGUUUUUUUUUCUCUUUUAGUUGAGGUUUUCUUUUGAAACCUCAAUAAGAGAUUUUUGGGGAUAGAAAAACAAAAUUGAAAAAAAAAGAAUUUUUUUUAGAGAUUUUAUUUAGGUGGGAAGAAAAGCAUGAGCGAUCAUUUUUUGGCUGAGGAAUUUAGCAUCAAACUUUAGAACAAAAAAUAGGCAAGGUAGUUAAAAUACAUACUAAAUACGUUAAGUAACCAGAGAGGAUAGCGGAUUCUAAUUCCACUUCCGCUGUUCUAUUUCACUUCCAACAUUCCUUCCGAGCUCAGUUGGGAUCGAUAUUUUCCUCGAGCUUGCUGUUCUUUUCUCGUGUGUAUGGUCGUGUGGAAGUCGUUUUCCGUUUAGCUUGUCUAGUUCUAUUCGCUGCCCCAAAGGAGGUAAAGUCUCUUUUCUUCGCCUUGAUUGUUUCACUUCAAAGUAUGCUUGUUCUGUUAUGUGCGCUUUUAAUCUAGUUUGAGUUUGCUUGUUGUUGUAUCGUUGAAAACAAGGAUAGGCAGAUUCAGUAUUUUGUCUCCUCUGUUGUUUUUUGCAGCGGUAAAUGUUGAAACAUUUUCAUGUUAGAUCGACCACUCUGUGUUACUCUUAUCAUCUUACUUUCUUAUAUUAGCUUUAAGAAAUGUUUACUUCUUAACCUUGGCAUUUAAUCCAUGGCGAGAUGUCAUCCUCUAUUAGACUAGUUGUGUCCUUUUGUGAUGGUUCAGUGUUUUGGUAAAAUUUGAAGACUUCUUAUCCUCCAUCUCCCUCUAGAAAAGUGGAGAGCAUAAAAUUUAAUUCACAUUUCCAUCUAAAAUUAUAUAUGCCUUCAUGGUACUUUGUCGAUAUUAUGUAUUGACUUGGCUCACGGCUAAAUAUUAAGAUCUCCCAACCAUCAUUUGGUUUAGUUGACACUGUUCUCAACUUCGUGAGUUUGAUUUCUGUUUUUGUACUAUUCUAGUUGUUAUUAUUUUUCUUCUAAAGUUGGAUUUUGUUUAAUCGUGUUCCUUUAAAUAUCACCAAAAAUGUAAUUUUUGGGGGGUCAUAGGAAGCAUGUCUUGUCGUGAUCACUACAUGUUAAUCAUCUUUUGAAUAUUAUAUUUGUUUUCCUUAGCUAUUGGUGUGACCUAUUAUGAUUAAAGUGGAUUUUUUACGUUAUAAGGUGUAUUGAUGUUAUUUAUUGUCGGUUUUGUUUUUCUUUCUGUGAAAUCUUAUCUUUAUUUACUUUCUUAUGCAUCUUUGUGUUAUAUUUUAUAUUAUUCUUCUGUUGAUUUCACUUGUUUUUUGUUUGAAUACUUUUGUUAAUUCUCUUAGGUUGUGUGAUUUCUAUAUUAUAAAUUUAGUAUUUAUUGUUCUAUUUUAAUGAUUGUUUAUUUGUUUUUCUUGUUAUAUAUAUAUUUCUAUAUUGUAUGUCGAUUAUUUAUAGUUAUCGUGGUGUAUUCUUCUGAUAAAUAUUAUACACUUUGUUAUACUUAAAUUAGUGUAUUGUCAUUUUCUAUUUACUGUAUUUUUUUUAAUUUUUUAAUUUUUCAUUUUUUUGGUAUGUGUGUAGUUGUACUAUUUUUGGUAGUUCUCACCUUAUAUUUUUUUUUAUCUACUUUUUAAUUUAUGCAGUCCAUUAAUUGUUUAUCCCCUUAUUUUUUUGUGAUUUCUUUUUCAAUGACUUUUCUUUUGUUGUAUGCAUAAAGGAUCAUUUUUAUUGGUUUGUGUAUACAUAGUCAUUUUAUAUGUUACGCUGCCAUUACCAGUACUUGUAUGAUUUUAGUUUUUUUUUCAAUUACCUUUGCUACAUACACUCCUUUUUCUUUAUAAUCCCAAAACUUUGAAGUGGGCUAAGAAAUUUUUAAAAUCUGAAUAGUUCAACACAAUUUAAGCUGACAUUUCCCCUAUUUAGAAGAGGGAGUUGAAAGGACCAACACAGCUUUAAAAACCUGUAUCCAAAGCUAUUUAAAUUGUACUUUGAAUAUGACUAACACAACUUUAAGGACAAAAAAUACAGCUUUAAAAAGCUGUUCCCAAAGCUAUUUAAAUUGUACUUUAAAUAUAUAAUAUAUAUUUUCUUUUAUUUAACAAGGAUAAUUAUGUAAUUUUAUCAUUAAAUUUGGACAUUUGUGCAGCAUGAACAAGGGAAGAUGGGUAAUUUCGUUAUUGUCUAUCCACUUUACUUCUUUCCUUCUUUGCUUCUCCUCCACAUUUGCUUCUACAUUGAUUUCUCCGCCACAAUUCCUCUCCAUUAAUCUCCAUUUCUCCUCAAAUUUCGCUUCAAUGUUGCUGUCCAGAUAAUACAAAUUAGAGGUUUUAUCGCAUAGUGGUCAGAAAUUAGAGAGAAGAAGAGGUGUAGAAUACAACUCAGAUAACAAUCUUUUUGAGCUUAAAUUUGAACAAAUUAUUGUUUUGUUCUUGCAUGCAGCAUCAGAUUUCAUUCUUGUAGCCAUGAGAUUAUUUUGGUGUGUUUUGUUUCUGCUCUUCAAAUUUGAAUGCUUCAACAAAGGUUGUUCAUCUUCUCAACUUAUAAGCUUGUACAUAAGCUUCUAUUAAUCACAGAAUUAAGGUGAUAAUUGACUCAAAUAUUGGUAGGGCGACAAGUAGUCAACAGAUCGUCACUUGGUUGUUGAUCAAUAUAUGGUAAACGUUAGCCACUCUCUGUUAAAUGUAUUUUAAAAAGGAUUCAGCGAGGACAUAAUCUCUAUUUUUCUCGACAAGGAACUUAAGUUGGUAAUUAGCAACUGUCUAGAUAUCAAUCAUAUUUUGCAUUAUAAUCUUAUUAGUUAAUUCAUGUGGUAAUCAUAUCUUGAUAGUUUUCCAUCGAUAUCAACAAAGAGCUUCUUCUUGUGUUCAAUCUUUUCCUUGUUUUGCCGCUGAUGACUUAAGGCAAAUACAAACACUCUGCAUAUUUGUAUCAUCUCUUAUUAAUUUGUUCGAAAAUAUUGUUUUAGAUUUAAGCAAGAAAAACAAAGUUCACCUUCUUCAUUUUAUCUAGGACCUGAAAGCACUGCGGCCUUGGAAAGGUGUAAAAAGCGUAUUGAACUUAUUGCAAACACUCUAUAACUAGAAGGAUUUUCGCGUAUUGAUGCGUUUGUUCAUGCUGACACUGGCGAGGCACUUUCAGAGCAACCUCCCCUGUAUCCGCAACAGCUCUUCCGCACGUUGCUUGAUCUGGCAUCAAAGAGAUCUAUGUGAAUAUAAUUAUAUCAGAAGAUUUCAGGAAUGGAAGAAAAUAGAGAUAAUGUGUCUGCCCAAGAAAGAACUUCUGAGAGAAAUUUGCGUCGUCGUACCAGAUAUGCACAGAUGUCACCAGAGAGAAAGCAAUUAUUUUUAUCCGAGCUAAGAGAAAAAAGGGCUAAGUCAAAAAGACAAAAACACCUUCAUCAAUCAAAUACUACUGCCGCUCUUACAAUCAGUAGUUCUUCAUUAUCGCCUCAAGAAGUUGAAGCUUCUGAAGCCACAAGCCUACCAGUUACUUUAACUACAGGACAUCAUCGAUCAAAUAGUACUGGCGCCCUUACAAUCAACACUUCUUCGUUAUCUCCUCAACAAGUUAAAUCUUUCGAAGUUACAAAUCUACCAGUUAAUUUAACUAUAGGAGAACAUCAAUUAAAUAGUACUGGCGCCCUUACAAUCGGCACUUCUUUGUUAUUUCCUCAAGAAGUUGAAGCUUCUGAAGCUUUAAACCUACCAGUUACUUCAACUAGAGGAGAAAGUAUAGUUAAUUGCUUAUCUACCUUUGAAGUAGGAUCAACGUCGAGUGCAUCUUAUGCUGCAAGUAGAUCAAGUUCAAGUCGUACUUCAAAUAGAGGAGCUUUUUUCAUUGAUGGUCCUGGGGGAACUGGAAAAACAUUUCUAUAUCGAGCUUUGUUGGCUGUUGUAAGAACAAAAGGAUUCAUAGCUUUGGCAACUGCAAGUUCUGGUGUGGCAGCUUCAAUACUUCCGGGAGGACGAACAGCUCAUUCACGUAUUAAAAUUCCUGUUGACAUCGAUGACAAUUUCACUUGCAAUAUUAAAAAACAAAGUUCGUUAGCGAUUCUAAUUCGAGAUUCAAAACUAAUUGUUUGGGAUGAAGUCUCAAUGGCAAAAAAAAACAUGAUUGAAGCUCUUGAUACACUUCUAAAAGAUCUUAUGAAUACAAGAGCACUGUUUGGUGGAAAAGUAGUAGUUUUGGGGGGGGGGGCUUUAGACAAACACUUCCUGUUGUUCUUAGUGUAAAAAAAGAAGACUUUAUAAAUCAAAGUUUAUUAUACUCCCGUAUUUGGAAUCAUCUUGAAAAAUUGUCCUUAUCUGAAAACAUGCGUGCGAAAAAAAGAUCCAGCAUUUUGUGCAUAUUUAAUGGGAAUUGGAAAUGGGCAAGAAAAAACUAACAAUUGCAACAAAAUUGAAAUUCCCAAUAAUUUUAUCAUUCCCUUUACAGAUGAAAUAGAAUCUUUAAAUAUUUUAUUUAAUGUUACUUAUCCUAAUUUGCGUACAUUCUAUUGUAAUCCACCUUUUAUGAAUUCCCGUAUUAUUUUGACAACAAAAAAUGAUUUUGUUGAUGAAAUAAAUGAUAUGCUUAUACAUCGAUUUCCCGAUGAUGCUACAGUAUAUACGGCUAUUGAUGAAACUAUAGAACCAAAUGAUCAAUGCCAAUUUGAAGAUUUUUUGCAUACCUUACAUCCUGCUAACUUACCACCUUAUAGAUUAACUUUGAAAAAAAAUUGUCCAGUUAUAUAAUUAAGAAACCUAAAUCCUACUGAAGGUUUAUGCAAUGGUACACGAUUGAUAUGUCAUGAUUUUAAGUCAAAUGUUAUUAGUGCUACUAUUUGCAGUGGUGAUUUUAAAGAUAAACAUGUCUUUAUUCCAAAGAUACCAUUACUAGCAUCACAAGAUGAGAAACAUCCAGUUCCCUUCAAAAUAAUACAAUUUCCGAUAAGAUUAUGUUUUGCUAUGACUAUAAACAAAGCUCAAGGUCAAACAUUAGAUUUUGUUGGAAUAUAUUUGCGUGAACCAGUUUUUUCACAUGGACAACUUUAUGUUGCUUUAUCUCGAGCAAAAUGUUCAGACAAUGUAAAAAUGUUAAUACGUCCACCAACUGCACAGGACACAGAUGGUCAUUCUACAUAUAAUGUAGUUUAUGACGAAAUCAUUCGAAAAGCAUUGUCAUGAUACUUUUAAAAGUAAUAAGUGCAACAACAACAACUUUCCCUAUAAGGGUAACUAUUUUUGUAGUUCUAGAUGAAGGAAAUGACAGAGAAGAACUACCUCUUAAUGCUUCAAAUUUUCUUAUUUCAGAUUAUACAAGUGCAAAUAAGUGAUGAUGAGUUGUAGUGGUAUUCUCCUAAGAGAGUAGAGAAAUUUCAAGAUUAAAAUCUCUCAUUAGGAUUUUUUCCCAUUUUCCAUUUGUAACACUUGCCAUGAGGUGACAUGAUUCAAUAACAACUAACUCAGUUACCCCAAUGAAUUCAACACCUGAAGCAUUAGAUGCACUGAACACUUAUGGAUGGUAUAUAGGUAUCGUACUUUCUGAAGCCUCCCUUCUUAUUUUCAAUGAUUUUUUAGUUUCACCAAGCUGGACAUCAAUUUAAAACACAAUGUUGAGUGAGCUCUUUUUCAUUUUAUUUUUCUAAUUGAAGUAGUAGAAAUCAUGUACAAGAUAUCCUUUAUUGCGUAAUGUAUCUUUUCUUUUCCUCUUUCAUUCUCUUGUGGAUGUGAAAAUCAUCAUUGGUUGUCUAUAGUCUUAGAAUUUCAUGUAUUUAUAAUUUUGGGAAGGUAUCGAUUAUACUCGAUGUCAAAAAAAAAUACAUUUGUUCUGAGGAUCAAAAGAGAGACGAAUCAUGAUAAAAUGAUGGAUAAAUUAGAAUCUAUGUUUUGGAGGAUUUCAACUUUCAACUGGAGUUCACCAUAUAUGGAAGCAUAUAGUUCCUAUAUUUACGGGUUUACGCCUCAGAUGGAAGAUGGCUACUCUGAUUUGCAAUUUUGAGAAGCAGAAAUCUGAAACCUUUUGUGAAUCAAGUAUCAACUCCUGAUUUAUCUACUUUUAUGUUUUGGAAAGUUGAAGGAAUUAUAUGUUAGAGGGGAGACCAUUCAGCAUUGUUCAGUUUCCUUUGUGUUGCUUCUGUAAUUUCUUUAUUUUCUUUUCCUUUUGCAAUGAACUUGUCAUCCUCUAUGUAAAGAAUGUUUCUUGUACUUUUCAUACAUCAAUCACAGUCGAAUUAUGAGUCAAA